rnacentral:lncRNA from 1 species
AAACUGGUUAAUCAAAACCAAAUAGUUAAAAAGUGUGUAAAUUCAGUGCAUUGCCAAUUUAGCAAACUGGGUCAGCAAACCAUCUUGUUUCCUAGCCCUGAUUGGGUUCUUUCAGAUCUUAUUUUGAAAAUAAACUCAUAGUUCUUAUCAUUUGUUUUACAGAUAAGGAUACUAAAACGAGUAGUAAUUGUGAGUUAACUAAGGUCAUAGAGACACUUGACAAGAAUCCAAGAUUUCUAACAUCUGGUCUUAAUUUUUAAUUUUGUUAGAGGAUUCUAAUUUUAAAUGUCCUUUCCUAUAAAAACUAAAGGUUAUACUCCUCUGGUGGUCCAAACCACACUGUCUGCCUCAUCACUUUUUUCAUCAACUUUGUUGUCAAGAUACAGCGGAAAGACCAUUGCUCACAAGUGAGAAAAUUUCCACGUUGUUGAGAUUCUGUUGUUAACUAGUAGUUUUCUAUAGGUUAGUGUGAUGGUUAUCUACCUAUCAACCCUGCUGGAGCAGAAGUCUGCAUACUAAAUUCCACAGACUCUUUUGGCAGUAAAGCAUUAGAGAGAAAAGCAUAAGGGAAGUAUUAGAGGGAAAUGAGAAGGUGCAGAGAGGAGAGAAGAGACUUCUUUUCAGUUUUUGAUAGUGUGUUCCAGCAAGAGAAGACAGUUGCAGCUUUGUGAUCUGCCUUCUGUGGGACUUCUAGCACCAGCUUUGCUGCAGUUUCUCAGAGAGACAAAGACCAGGCAAUUAAAUCUCCUCAGUGGUUCCAAGCUCCAGCUUCAUAUCCCCGUCCCCCCAGUCAAGCUGUCUAAGCACCAACUGUGUAAAGGAUGAGUCUCCAAGCUCUUACUCUGUCUUCUACCAGCACUAAAGCUGUGUGUUGAGACUUCUCUGCUGGACUCUUGGACUUCCACAAAGAUGGCAAAAAUUCUCCAACAAAAAACACAAAAAGGCCUCCCUGCCAAGAUUGCAUCUAAGGUAGAAAAAAACAUACUCUUGUAAAAGAUGAAGUAUGUGAAGAUGAGCUGGAUGACAGGAGGCCUCAUGAGCUAGUGCCAGGGAAAUGAGCCAGGUCUAGAACCAGAUUAGAAGAACUAUUUUGUUUCCUUGUGUCCACAUUUGAUUAAGAAGAAGGCUGAGGAGAAGCCCUGAGCUAACAUCUGUUACUGCUGAUCAGUAGAGCAGGUCCACACCCAGGAUCCAAACCCCUGAAUCUGGGGCUGCCAAAGCAGAGCACGCAGAACUUUAAAUACUCAGCCAGAAGAUCUGCCCUGAGUUGUAAGAAUUAUUUAUAUAUUCUAGAUACAAGUUGCUAUUCAGAUAUGUUAUUUGAAAUAUUUUCUCCCGUUUGUUGGAUGUCUUGUUAUUUUCUUGAUAAUGUUCUUUGGAGCAUAGAGGUUUUCAAUUUUGAUGAAGUUCAAUUUAUCUUUUUUUUAAUUACUUGCCUUUUUCGUAUCAUAUCUAAAAGUCCAUUGCCAAAGCCAUAGGCAUGCAGAUUUACCCCUAAAUUUUCUUCCAAGAAUUGUAUAGGUCUAACUGUUAAAUUUCGGUCUUUAAUCAAUUUUGAGUUAAUUUCUGUAUAUGGUGUGAACUAAGGGUCCAAUUGCAUUUCAUUGCAUGUGGUUAUCCAGUUAUACCAGCACCAUUUGUUGAAAAUAUUAUACUCUCCUCAUUAAAUAGUCCUGGCACUCUUGUUGAACAUUUGUUGACCACAGACACAUCCUUUAUUUCUUUAUCCUUAAUUCUAUUCCAUUGACCUCUACACCCAUCAAUAC